GUGCGCCCAAGGGUGCGAGGGCGCGGCCUGGGGGCGACUUCUGGAGCUCAAGCCUGGACCUCGAGGGCUUCUCCACAGCUGCGAAGGCCGGAGAGGCGAGGCACAGGCAGGUUUGGAAUGUCAUCUUAAAAGCCCCAGAGCCAUGGAAGAGAAAAUGGAGAAAUGCCAAGCCAAGUUAAGAAUUUGCUGUUAGAAAAAUGGCCCAGAGAGAGUGACCAGAGUUCAAGAAGGGGCAGGGGAGUGCAGAGGGCAUUUCCACUCUCACACCUGAACUUCUGAAGGGCUCCAAAAGGGACAGUCAGCUGUCAAUAUCUGCAAGCCCAGAAGGAAGGAAACAAUCUCAAACUUUCUUUCCAGAAUAAAAACAUUGCUCUCCUCUGGUUGUAGAGAACCAAGUCAGAAAGAGAGG
ensembl:lncRNA